rnacentral:rRNA from 1 species
CCUACGGGUGGUUGCAGUGAGGAAUAUUGGUCAAUGGACGGAAGUCUGAACCAGCCAUGUCGCGUGCGGGAAGACGGCUCUAUGGGUUGUAAACUGCUUUUGUCCGAGGGUAAACCUGACUACGUGUAUUCAGCUGCAUGUACUGUGCGAAUACGGGCCGGCUAACUCCGUGCCGUCAGCCCCGGUAAUCCGGAGGUGUCAGGCGUUAUCCGGGUUUAUUGGGUUUAAAGGGGGGCGAGGCGGGCGGUUAAGUUAGAGGUGAAAUCCCGGGGCGCAAAUGCGGACACGAGUCUGAUACUGCUGGGCUAGAGAGCACAUGAGGUAGGCGGAAUGCGUGGUGUAGCGGUGAAAUGCAUAGAGAUCAUACAGAACACCGAUUGCGAAGGCAGCUUACCAGGGCACGUCUGACGCUGAGGCACGAAAGCGUGGGUAGCAAACAGGAUUAGAUACCCUGGUAGUC